CAGGACACGUGGCUGAGAAAGAGAAGGGAAGGUGGAGCCGCCAUGUUGAACAUGUCUAGUCCCUAGUUCCUGCUGGUAUUCACCAGUGCAAGCUCCCAGCUUGCUUGCCUAUGUCUGCAGCUUGACUUUACAGGCUGCUCUUCGGUAGAAAAUGAUUUGGGGCUGCUUUUCCUUAAAAAGAAAAGCCUUACGAGGACUCCCAUACCCUUACUAUCUGCCUAAGUGAUUUCUUCUUAACUCCUGUAUCGUUUUGCACUGACCGUACCAUCUCAAGGGACUCAGUAAAUGAAAAAAAGAUAGUGACAUUGCCAGAAUGUGGGUAAUGAACAUUGAUGUUCUCAGAAUCUUUAAUACGGGAAUGUGUAUGGUCAGUAUAGAAUGCAGCCUACCUCGGAUUUCAGAAACUGAUCUGCACAGAACAGCCAUGCAAUGCCAUUUUGGAUAAUGCUCAUCUGUAAAAAUAUAUAUAGACUUUUCCAGAAGAUUGAGGGAGAGGUGAUAUAUUAAGAAAAAGAGAUGAAUGAAAUUAUGAAAACCCAGAAAGAAUGACUUCAGGUUUUUUAUAAAAGCAGAGCACUGAAGGAGUUAAAAUGAUGCCACCGCAAAAUAUGCUACCAUUCUGGCAUAUUGACUAUUUUGAGUUAAGAGUACUUGAAAAACAGCAGGUGCAACAAGAUCACUUUGAGAUUCCUUCUCUUUCUUAACAACAGGUGAUGACAGUCCCACAUGAAAGAUGUCCUCCCUGUACCAGAAGGAAGGCAAUAUUAUUAUGACCAAGGACAGGAACUUGAAACCCAGAGAAUUCUGUACAGACCUUGUUAGAACAAUAUGUAUCUUCUUUUAGCCUUCCCAGAUAAUUUAGUUACUUUUUCACAACUUCCUACUAUUUGUCAAAUUCAAUAUGUAAGUAUUCAACUCUAAUUGCAUCUUUGGGCCUUUAUUUCCUUAUGAAGGCUCCUGUGCCAUAUGAAACUUGUAUUAACUAAAUUUUCAUGCUUUUCUCCUGUUGAUCUGUCUUAUGUCAAUUUAAUUUCAGGUCUAGGAAAAAAAUAACAAACUUAAAAGAGUAAAAGUAAAAUUUUACCUCCCCUACAGCACCCAAUAAUCAUGAAAUAUGGAUAAUGCAAUGAAAAGCCAAAAAAUAUAUAAAUAAAAAGGAAAAUGUAGUGUUGGACCUAAACUAACUGAUGAUCUUUCUAAAAUUUGGGCUGGCAUAUAUUUCUUUAUAUAGAGAAGUCUGUCCCUCACCAUGUGAAUAUCACCUCUCCUACUCUUCCAAUCUACUGUGAUUAGAAAGGAAAGCAAUGCAACAUAAUUUUAAUGGCUUUCACAUUGCCUGAGUUUGGUUUGACUUCAGGCAUGUAUAUUUAAUGCCCAUAUGUUUUGUUGCUAAAUCUCUAUGCAGCCCUAGUAUUAAAAUGCAUUAUGCAUGAAAAGUUCAAAUGAAAGAAAAAUAAGACAGAGGGAUCUGGAUAGAGAGUAUCCAAGGUUCUUUUGAGAGUAAACUCAAAAUACAUUAUAAGAAAAAGCAUAACCUCUGUGAUUUUAAUAUAAAACUAGCAAUGUCUUCAAGAAGGGCAAUGCCUUUGUUCCUGAAGUCCUGCUUUUGUAUUGCAUAACUGUAAGAUAAAAUUUGAUCUCACAACUGCAAAUAAAGUUUUGAUUUGAAAGUUUACUUAUUUUAACAUAAAGACUUCAAAAUAACCAGUGAAUUGUUCAGAAUUUCAAGUAAGCUG
rnacentral:lncRNA from 10 species